rnacentral:rRNA from 1 species
UACGAAGGGGGCUAGCGUUGCUCGGAAUCACUGGGCGUAAAGGGUGCGUAGGCGGGUUUUAAGUCAGGGGUGAAAUCCUGGAGCUCAACUCCAGAACUGCCUUUGAUACUGGCGACCUUGAGUCCGGGAGAGGUGAGUGGAACUGCGAGUGUAGAGGUGAAAUUCGUAGAUAUUCGCAAGAACACCAGUGGCGAAGGCGGCUCACUGGCCCGGUACUGACGCUGAGGUGCGAAAGCGUGGGGGAGCAAACAGGGAU